CUGGCGGCAUGGAUUAGGCAUGCAAGUCGAACGGUGUAGCAAUACACAGUGGCGGAAGGGUGAGGAACACGUGAAUAAUCUGCCCGUCAAGUUGGGAAUAACUUUCCGAAAGGAAAGCUAAUACCGAAUGUGGUGUUUUAUCGCAUGAUAGGACAACUAAAGAUUUAUCGCUUGAGGAUGAGUUCGCGUCCCAUUAGGCUAGUUGGCGGGGUAACGGCCCACCAAGGCAGAGAUGGGUAGCUGGUCUGAGAGGAUGAUCAGCCACACUGGGACUGAGACACUGCCCAGACUCCUACGGGAGGCUGCAGUCGAGAAUCUUUUGCAAUGCGCGAAAGCGUGACAAAGCAAUGCCGCGUGCCGGAUGAAGGUCUUCGGAUUGUAAACGGCUGUCACUCGGGACGAAAAAUGACGGUACCGAGGGAGGAAGCCACGGCUAACUACGUGCCAGCCGCCGC
rnacentral:rRNA from 1 species